CAGAAACUGUCUGCUCUGAAGCAAGUCUCAUUGGCUGUCUGUCCUUAAAAGGCAGAUGUGCUUUUUUUCUUUCACAAACAGUCAGUACAAUUACAGCACCUUCCAUUCUCUCUGAACUGUGGCACCCAAGGCCCUUUGUGGUCCAGCUCCCACUCCUGAGUACUCGGUGCUUUACUCGCCAACUGAACAGCAGUGGCACCAGGUUGCACCAAGGGGUGUAUCAGUCAAUCUCCAUGUCCUAUCAAAUGGACUCAAUUGUCCAACGGCAGAUGUGAGGGGAAUAAAACGAGAACAGGACAAGCAAACAGUAGUAUGUCCCCAGCACCAUUCUUUCAUCCUCCAGUUCCUUCCAGCUCAAGGAUUUCCUGAACCUGAGGAUAUCAGACAGUUCUAAGCUGCAUUUAUAAUGCCAGAUGCUGUUCCUGCAAACUUGGACCCAAAUGAGCUUUGGGAAUGAAGGUAUAGAGACACCUAAGAUCUAUCUGCAGCUAUGCAGUGCAGUUCCUGAAUGAACUUGAUAAUUCACUAAGGAAAAAUCCUGUCCUACCUCUGUCUGCAUGGAAGUACUCACAUACUGCACUGCAGCUCUACUAGAUGGAUGCUAAGACAGGCUGAGGGGAUCGCCUGAAGACUCCCAGUUCUUCAUUUACUGAAACAGCUGGAGGCCAGCCCUGUUUGGAUUUCUCCCAUUGUGAUGACUCUGGGGGUCUUAUGGGUCUCUGAAGUGGCUCAGAGGCAGUCUGGGUGUGGCUGAGUGUCCCAGUCUGGAAAGACCCUCACCAUGCACUUAGUGCGGUGAGGGCCCAGGCCAUUUUCAAAUGUAUCAUGUAGCUGAAGGUCUGAGCACAGAUAUAGUGCUGGGUAGUUACAAGAGUGGCAGUGGGCUUUCAGUCUUGAUAGUGAGACCCAAAAAUGUGCUUUUAUUUCUAAGCAUUUACUUAAGUUGUUUUUAAAACAAACAAAAAAAAAAAAAAAAAAAAAAAAAAAACACCCCCAAAAUAAAUACUAAACAAAAAAACUAAACAGCCUGCUUCCCACUCACACAUAACCUUCCCAAUCUCACAUAACCCUAUUAGUCAUCAAGUUUACAGAACAAACUCCAUCAUGAAGAACACCUAUAGAUGUUGAAACAUUUCACUGCAGACAAACAAAUAACAUUACUGACAGUUCUAUUAAUUUGCUAGAGUAUAUUCUAGUGCCGAGUACAAUCAUUAAUUUGCAGUCUUAGUUGAUAUUAUGCUGGCCAAAUCCUAGUUGUUUGUGUCAUAAUAAUGAAGACUUUGAUAUUCACUGGUGUUAUUGGGGUCACUGAAACUUGACAGAAACUAAAAGGGGAAAGGCACGCACACUAACAAACAUUGUAGUCUCACCAAUCAACAAGUCCAAGAUCUGGCUUUUCAGUGAAUGAGGACACCUUGUUGAUUUUAUGGAACGUGAGGAUCUUCGCACAAGGAAGAUCAAAGGGCUGCGGUAUGUUUCAGUGAAUAACUUUAUGGGACAGAUGGAAUCCGCUCAGAGAGACCUGUGACACAGAGGGCCAGAUUAUCAAAAGUAUCAGACACUAAAACCUGUUAGUGUGGUCAAACCUUUACUCCAACCCUGUCAGUACUUUUUAGCUCCAUUUAAAGAAUCAAUCUGCAUUUUAACUACUGCAAAAGUUCAAAUGGAGGUUAAAAGGAUGAGCUUGGGAGAUGGCAGGCCAAGAGAAAUACUGUUUGCCAUUCUUCUGUAUUCCAUACAGAUGUUGUCAAAUGUUAGGGAGGAUAAUUUUCUUUUGUGAGAAAUGAAUAUUGCUGGAAGCAUGCCAAACCUUGAAACUUAUUUGGUCAAGUAAAGGCAUUAAACUUGUACAUGUCCUUCCCUCUGGGAUUGUGAGACAUGAAAAACACUUUUUGAUUUGUCGUUGCUCGUAACAAUUGAGGAGUUUCUAUCAGAUAACCCACAUACACUCUGUAAGCAAGGAGGGGUGAAAUCUAUAUCUUUCACCAGAUUUCUUUAACUUCCACAUUUGCCCUGGUUUGGUUUGACAGCAGUUUUUUUGCUAAAAACUCUGGUCAAUUCUUUCCUUCUGGCUCUCAGCAGGAUUCCUGGUUUGACUUCUGAAGAGCUAAGCUCCGUCUGCUCUAGAGUCACUCGAGUGCAUUUAUUUAGCUCCUUGAGUGAACUUCCUUGUCUUAUAAAUGCAUAUUUACCUUUGCUACUCUUUCAAAGGAACAAGUUUUCUUGCAUUGUUGUUCUUUUAGGCCAUGUAACUUAGAGGGACCAUUUUCCAGAACUCAACAUUGUGCACACUAAUUUUAUGGAGAAAAGAUGCAAGGUCGACUAACAAUGAUUUUGCAAAACAUCAAAAAAUUCUCUGUAUUUCAUUGUAACUAGCACAAGAAUAUGCAAAGCUAAAUCAUGUAACAACAACUACACGGGGUUCAAGCCUCAGUUUUUUUAAUCACUUUUGAGCACUCUUCAAGGUUUUUUUUCCCCUAAAAUAAAGGCAAAUAUGAAAAAAAAUGCAAACAAGCC
ensembl:lncRNA